rnacentral:rRNA from 1 species
GUGGCGAACGGGUGAGUAACACGUGAGCAACCUACCCUAGACUCUGGAANANNNAUGGGAAACGAUGGCUAAUACCGGAUACGAGACGUGCANGCAUGUGUGGCGUCUGGAAAGAUUUAUCGGUCUGGGAUGGGCUCGCGGCCUAUCAGCUUGUUGGUGGGGUAGUGGCCUACCAAGGCGACGACGGGUAGCCGGCCUGAGAGGGCGACCGGCCACACUGGGACUGAGAUACGGCCCAGACUCCUACGGGAGGCAGCAGUGGGGAAUAUUGCACAAUGGGCGCAAGCCUGAUGCAGCGACGCCGCGUGAGGGAUGACGGCCUUCGGGUUGUAAACCUCUUUCAGCAGGGAAGAAGCGAAAGUGACGGUACCUGCAGAAGAAGCGCCGGCUAACUACGUGCCAGCAGCCGCGGUAAUACGUAGGGCGCAAGCGUUGUCCGGAAUUAUUGGGCGUAAAGAGCUCGUAGGCGGUUUGUCGCGUCUGCUGUGAAAACCUAAGGCUCAACCUUGGGCUUGCAGUGGGUACGGGCAGACUAGAGUGCGGUAGGGGUGACUGGAAUUCCUGGUGUAGCGGUGGAAUGCGCAGAUAUCAGGAGGAACACCGAUGGCGAAGGCAGGUCACUGGGCCGCAACUGACGCUGAGGAGCGAAAGCAUGGGGAGCGAACAGGAUUAGAUACCCUGGUAGUCCAUGCCGUAAACGUUGGGCACUAGGUGUGGGGCUCAUUCCACGAGUUCCGUGCCGCAGCAAACGCAUUAAGUGCCCCGCCUGGGGAGUACGGCCGCAAGGCUAAAACUCAAAGAAAUUGACGGGGGCCCGCACAAGCGGCGGAGCAUGCGGAUUAAUUCGAUGCAACGCGAAGAACCUUACCAAGGCUUGACAUA